rnacentral:miRNA from 12 species
UUCUGACCACCUCGGACAUUGCUUUUGUGAGCUUUGAGAGCGAAGCAACGAGAGGCUGGUCUGAA